UGGGGAAUAUUGCACAAUGGGCGCAAGCCUGAUGCAGCCAUGCCGCGUGUGUGAAGAAGGCCUUCGGGUUGUAAAGCACUUUCAGCGAGGAGGAAGGCAUAAAGGUUAAUAACCUUUGUGAUUGACGUUACUCGCAGAAGAAGCACCGGCUAACUCCGUGCCAGCAGCCGCGGUAAUACGGAGGGUGCAAGCGGUAAUCGGAGUUACUGGGCGUAAAGCGCACGCAGGCGGUUUGUUAAGUCAGAUGUGAAAUCCCCGCGCUUAACGUGGGAACUGCAUUUGAAACUGGCAAGCUAGAGUCUUGUAGAGGGGGGUAGAAUUCCAGGUGUAGCGGUGAAAUGCGUAGAGAUCUGGAGGAAUACCGGUGGCGAAGGCGGCCCCCUGGACAAAGACUGACGCUCAGGUGCGAAAGCGUGGGGAGCAAACA
rnacentral:rRNA from 1 species